CUGCUUCUGAAGUUUUAUCAGAAGAAGUAUUUUUUUGAGAGAAAAAGAAAACACAAUUCAACCCCCCCCCUUCUUGUGUUUUUCACCUUCAAUAUACUGAACCAUCCCUAUCUUAAAGUGUCUCUUUUCCCAAACACUCCAAGCUCCAGACGCAUCUCUUAAUUCUACAGAUUUUAGAACUAUUCUAGUUUUUACACAUAAUAUAUACAAGUAUUAAGUACUAUCCCUGAUGAUUUUAAUUCCAUCCCUUAUCACUCCUUCCAAAAAGUGGCGCCUAUUUAAAUUGUUUAAUUCUUUUGUGUUCUUCACAAUAGCAUAUUCUUGCCAUUUUGUUUCCAACUUCUCCAUACUUAUUUAUUUGAAAUUACUCAUUUUUAAUGUUGCUUCCAAUAUUCAGGUUUAAAGAGUAGAUGACAGGAAAUGGAACGACUGACUGGAGUCCAGAAUUUGGUGUUGUCCAAGAUGCUGCUAUGGUUGAUUCUAUAGCUAUUUGAUAGAAUCUGGUAUACUAAUACUAUUGCUGAAAAUGGAUAGAAUUCCCUUUGAUUAGAUAUCAAAUUUUAUUGCAUUUAAGUCUGUUCAAUUUGCAUAGUCUUUGUUAAAAGAAGAAGCUUAUCAAUGUGAUUACCAUUAAAUUAAGCAUGCAACAUAUCCUUGCUAGUUGCAUUUUUCAAGUAAUAGAAUCUUUUGCUUUCUCUGCAAAAAAAAGUAGCCUUUUUGUGAGAAAGUGUGCAUAUCUAUGACUUAAAAUCAUGGUAUUCGUUUUAUUUUUCUACUAAAAUUUCAUUUAUAUUUUAUGAAUGUUCAAUUUUAAAAAUUGUAUUCUAUUAAUAUUUAACUUUACAAAAGAAUAUAGCUCUUCAUUGAAAUGAUAUUCUAUUAAUAUUUAACUUCAAAAGAAUAUUAGUAUUAUAUUUAAUAAAAAAUACAAACCCUAUAGUUAGGAUAGAUGGACAACUACUGAUAUAGCUCUUUGGACUAAGACUAAUAUCCACUCCAUAAUAUAUUUUUGUUUCCAAAUUUCAUCUAAGAUUCUAGUAUGAUGCAUUGUGUAUAUAUAUUAUGGCUUAAAAUCAUAGGUUUUGUAUUAUUUUUCUCUUAAUAUUUUAAUUUAUAUUUCACGAAAGUUUCUUAUUAAAGUAGUCUUCUGAUAUAUCACCAACAAAAUUGAUUGUGAGGUGAGAAUCAUUGAUCAUGUUCGCAGUAUAGUAUGAGAUAAUUCAAAAAAAAAUGCUUUCAAUUUUACAUGGUUUUAUGUACUUUUUUGGACUAUUGGGUGUUGUAAAUAAUUAACCAAUCUGGAAUAGAAUGCAAGCACUGCUCAGAAAAUCUGUUAGUUAUCUUUUUUAAAUGUGUGUCUAGAAUACAAAAUUUAAAGUUGAAUAUAACAUGUUGCUGGUGUGAUUGCUUCAAGCACUACUCAAUAUAUAAUGGAUAGACAAUUCUUGAAUAAACAUGAGAACCUUUUUGUUAAAUUAUAUUUACAACUUGACAGAAUGUAUAAACAUUAAAAGAUUCAAUAUUUCUUUCACACAUUAACCAUCUUUCCUUUCAAAAUAAAAUUCAAACCCUUGGGACUAAUUGAUGUAUUUUUUUCCGGUGUGUCUUCAUGAUGCUGGUGUGGUUGCUUCAAGAGUCCCAUAAGUUAUCCAUGUAAACCUAUGGAUUGGAGACAAAGAAGAGACAUGAAAUUGCGCACGCGUACGUAAAGCUGUUGAACAAACAAAUGCAGAAAUACAGAAGAAAAAAAAUCAUGGAUUUUUACAUAUCUUGUAUAGAAUAC
rnacentral:lncRNA from 1 species